rnacentral:rRNA from 1 species
UACGGAGGGGACUAGCGUUGUUCGGAAUUACUGGGCGUAAAGCGCACGUAGGCGGAUUUGUAAGUCAGGGGUGAAAUCCUGGAGCUCAACUCCAGAACUGCCUUUGAUACUGGCAAGCUUGGAGUCCGGGAGAGGUGAGUGGAACUGCGAGUGUAGAGGUGAAAUUCGUAGAUAUUCGCAAGAACACCAGUGGCGAAGGCGGCUCACUGGCCCGGUACUGACGCUGAGGUGCGAAAGCGUGGGGAGCAAACAGG